rnacentral:rRNA from 1 species
AAUCUUCCGCAAUGGACGAAAGUCUGACGGAGCAAUGCCGCGUGAGCGAUGAAGGCCUUAGGGUCGUAAAGCUCUGUUGUUAGGGAAGAACAAGUAUCGGAGUAAUAUGCCGUUACCUUGCCGGUACCUACCCAGAAAGCCCCGCCUAACUACGUCCCACCAGCCGCGGUAAUACGUAGGGGGCAAGCGUUGUCCGGAAUUAUUGGGCGUAAAGGGUGCGUAGGCGGCCUUUUAAGUCAGAUGUGAAAGCCCACGGCUUAACCGUGGGACUGCAUUUGAAACUGGAGGGCUUGAGUAUCGGAGAGGGUAGUGGAAUUCCCAGUGUAGCGGUGGAAUGCGUAGAUAUUGGGAGGAACACCAGUGGCGAAGGCGACUACCUGGACGAAAACUGACGCUGAGGCACGAAAGCUAGGGGAGCAAACA